rnacentral:sRNA from 1 species
GCUCGCAUAUAUUGCACGUGAACGUUUUGUAUGAAGUGGCACAAUAUAACCAUUAAGGGGUAGAAUCAAAUAAAUACCAGCGGAACCCGUUCUAGAUUAACAGUGCGCGGGCGACGCAAGGUGUUCUUUCUUAAGGGCUCGGCGGCUAUCCGGGCC